rnacentral:misc_RNA from 1 species
UGUGGGAGCGAGCUUGCUCGCGAUAGCAGUGUGUCAGUCAACAUCAAUGUUGCUGAUCUACCGCUAUCGCGAGCAAGCUCGCUCCCACA